GUCCACACAGUAACGAUGAAUACUCGCUGUUGCGAUAUACAGUAAGCGGCCAAGCGAAGCAUUAAGUAUUCCACCUGGGAGUACGCCGGCAACGGUGAACUCAAGGAAUUGACGGGGCCCGGCACAAGCGGAGGAACAUGUGGUUUAAUUCGAUGAUACGCGAGGAACCUUACCCGGGCUUGAAUUGCAACUGAAUGAUGUGGAGACAUGUCAGCCGCAAGGCAGUUGUGAAGGUGCUGCAUGGUUGUCGU
rnacentral:rRNA from 1 species